rnacentral:rRNA from 1 species
AACGCGAAGAACUUACCUGGUCUUGACAUCCACAGAACUUGGCAGAGAUGCCUUGGUGCCUUCGGGAACUGUGAGACAGGUGCUGCAUGGCUGUCGUCAGCUCGUGUUGUGAAAUGUUGGGUUAAGUCCCGCAACGAGCGCAACCCUUAUCCUUUGUUGCCAGCGGUCCGGCCGGGAACUCAAAGGAGACUGCCAGUGAUAAACUGGAGGAAGGUGGGGAUGACGUCAAGUCAUCAUGGCCCUUACGACCAGGGCUACACACGUGCUACAAUGGCAUAUACAAAGAGAAGCGACCUCGCGAGAGCAAGCGGACCUCAUAAAGUAUGUCGUAGUCCGGAUUGGAGUCUGCAACUCGACUCCAUGAAGUCGGAAUCGCUAGUAAUCGUGGAUCAGAAUGCCACGGUGAAUACGUUCCCGGGUCUUGUACACACCG